rnacentral:rRNA from 1 species
GGGUUGUGAGGUUAAGCGACUAAGCGUACACGGUGGAUGCCCUGGCAGUCAGAGGCGAUGAAGGACGUGCUAAUCUGCGAUAAGCGUCGGUAAGGUGAUAUGAACCGUUAUAACCGGCGAUUUCCGAAUGGGGAAACCCAGUGUGUUUCGACACACUAUCAUUAACUGAAUCCAUAGGUUAAUGAGGCGAACCGGGGGAACUGAAACAUCUAAGUACCCCGAGGAAAAGAAAUCAACCGAGAUUCCCCCAGUAGCGGCGAGCGAACGGGGAGCAGCCCAGAGCCUGAAUCAGUGUGUGUGUUAGUGGAAGCGUCUGGAAAGGCGCGCGAUACAGGGUGACAGCCCCGUACACAAAAAUGCACAUGCUGUGAGCUCGAUGAGUAGGGCGGGACACGUGGUAUCCUGUCUGAAUAUGGGGGGACCAUCCUCCAAGGCUAAAUACUCCUGACUGACCGAUAGUGAACCAGUACCGUGAGGGAAAGGCGAAAAGAACCCCGGCGAGGGGAGUGAAAAAGAACCUGAAACCGUGUACGUACAAGCAGUGGGAGCCUCUUUAUGGGGUGACUGCGUACCUUUUGUAUAAUGGGUCAGCGACUUAUAUUCUGUAGCAAGGUUAACCGAAUAGGGGAGCCGAAGGGAAACCGAGUCUUAACUGGGCGUUAAGUUGCAGGGUAUAGACCCGAAACCCGGUGAUCUAGCCAUGGGCAGGUUGAAGGUUGGGUAACACUAACUGGAGGACCGAACCGACUAAUGUUGAAAAAUUAGCGGAUGACUUGUGGCUGGGGGUGAAAGGCCAAUCAAACCGGGAGAUAGCUGGUUCUCCCCGAAAGCUAUUUAGGUAGCGCCUCGUGAAUUCAUCUCCGGGGGUAGAGCACUGUUUCGGCAAGGGGGUCAUCCCGACUUACCAACCCGAUGCAAACUGCGAAUACCGGAGAAUGUUAUCACGGGAGACACACGGCGGGUGCUAACGUCCGUCGUGAAGAGGGAAACAACCCAGACCGCCAGCUAAGGUCCCAAAGUCAUGGUUAAGUGGGAAACGAUGUGGGAAGGCCCAGACAGCCAGGAUGUUGGCUUAGAAGCAGCCAUCAUUUAAAGAAAGCGUAAUAGCUCACUGGUCGAGUCGGCCUGCGCGGAAGAUGUAACGGGGCUAAACCAUGCACCGAAGCUGCGGCAGCGACACUAUGUGUUGUUGGGUAGGGGAGCGUUCUGUAAGCCUGCGAAGGUGUACUGUGAGGUAUGCUGGAGGUAUCAGAAGUGCGAAUGCUGACAUAAGUAACGAUAAAGCGGGUGAAAAGCCCGCUCGCCGGAAGACCAAGGGUUCCUGUCCAACGUUAAUCGGGGCAGGGUGAGUCGACCCCUAAGGCGAGGCCGAAAGGCGUAGUCGAUGGGAAACAGGUUAAUAUUCCUGUACUUGGUGUUACUGCGAAGGGGGGACGGAGAAGGCUAUGUUGGCCGGGCGACGGUUGUCCCGGUUUAAGCGUGUAGGCUGGUUUUCCAGGCAAAUCCGGAAAAUCAAGGCUGAGGCGUGAUGACGAGGCACUACGGUGCUGAAGCAACAAAUGCCCUGCUUCCAGGAAAAGCCUCUAAGCAUCAGGUAACAUCAAAUCGUACCCCAAACCGACACAGGUGGUCAGGUAGAGAAUACCAAGGCGCUUGAGAGAACUCGGGUGAAGGAACUAGGCAAAAUGGUGCCGUAACUUCGGGAGAAGGCACGCUGAUAUGUAGGUGAAGCGACUUGCUCGUGGAGCUGAAAUCAGUCGAAGAUACCAGCUGGCUGCAACUGUUUAUUAAAAACACAGCACUGUGCAAACACGAAAGUGGACGUAUACGGUGUGACGCCUGCCCGGUGCCGGAAGGUUAAUUGAUGGGGUUAGCGGUAACGCGAAGCUCUUGAUCGAAGCCCCGGUAAACGGCGGCCGUAACUAUAACGGUCCUAAGGUAGCGAAAUUCCUUGUCGGGUAAGUUCCGACCUGCACGAAUGGCGUAAUGAUGGCCAGGCUGUCUCCACCCGAGACUCAGUGAAAUUGAACUCGCUGUGAAGAUGCAGUGUACCCGCGGCAAGACGGAAAGACCCCGUGAACCUUUACUAUAGCUUGACACUGAACAUUGAGCCUUGAUGUGUAGGAUAGGUGGGAGGCUUUGAAGUGUGGACGCCAGUCUGCAUGGAGCCGGCCUUGAAAUACCACCCUUUAAUGUUUGAUGUUCUAACGUUGGCCCGUAAUCCGGGUUGCGGACAGUGUCUGGUGGGUAGUUUGACUGGGGCGGUCUCCUCCUAAAGAGUAACGGAGGAGCACGAAGGUUGGCUAAUCCUGGUCGGACAUCAGGAGGUUAGUGCAAUGGCAUAAGCCAGCUUGACUGCGAGCGUGACGGCGCGAGCAGGUGCGAAAGCAGGUCAUAGUGAUCCGGUGGUUCUGAAUGGAAGGGCCAUCGCUCAACGGAUAAAAGGUACUCCGGGGAUAACAGGCUGAUACCGCCCAAGAGUUCAUAUCGACGGCGGUGUUUGGCACCUCGAUGUCGGCUCAUCACAUCCUGGGGCUGAAGUAGGUCCCAAGGGUAUGGCUGUUCGCCAUUUAAAGUGGUACGCGAGCUGGGUUUAGAACGUCGUGAGACAGUUCGGUCCCUAUCUGCCGUGGGCGCUGGAGAACUGAGGGGGGCUGCUCCUAGUACGAGAGGACCGGAGUGGACGCAUCACUGGUGUUCGGGUUGUCAUGCCAAUGGCACUGCCCGGUAGCUAAAUGCGGAAGAGAUAAGUGCUGAAAGCAUCUAAGCACGAAACUUGCCCCGAGAUGAGUUCUCCCUGACUCCUUGAGAGUCCUGAAGGAACGUUGAAGACGACGACGUUGAUAGGCCGGGUGUGUAAGCGCAGCGAUGCGUUGAGCUAACCGGUACUAAUGAACCGUGAGGCUUAACCUUACAACGCCGAAG